rnacentral:tRNA from 1 species
GAAAAAACAGUAUAAAUAAAUACCAUUGCCUUGAAAGCUCUUAAUAAGAAUAAAAAUUUCUUUUUUUUCG